rnacentral:lncRNA from 1 species
GUACGCGAAGCAGGGGAACCCGGACCUGAUCGGCACGGGUGCGCUGGAGCGCGCGUCCAUCGAGCAGUGGCUGCAGACGGAGGCGCAGAGCUUCGACGCGCCCAGCGCCGAGAUGGUCUACAGCCUCGCCCUCCUGCCGCCCAACCUGCCCAAGCAGCAGAACGACAACGGCAGCGGCUUCAACAACGGCAGCGGCAGCGGCUUCAACAACAGCGGCAGGGAGAGGGACGUGGGGAACGCGUCCGCCGGCAGCAAGCAGCGCUCCCCGGCCGGGUGGCCGGCGGCGAACCAGAACCAGAACCAGCAGCAGGCGAAGCAUCAGAAGGAGGAGGAGAUGGUGAGGCUGUUCGAGCAGCGGAAGAAGGACCUGGAGAAGCUGCUGGACAUCUACGAGCAGCGGCUGGAGGAGGCCAAGUACCUCGCCGGCGACAACUUCACCAUCGCCGACCUGUCGCACCUGCCCAACGCCGACCGCCUCGCCUCCGACCCGCGCUCCCGCCGCCUCUUCGAGACCCGCAAGAACGUCAGCAGGUGGUGGAACGACGUCUCCAGCCGCGACACCUGGCAGUACGUCAAGAGCCUGCAGCGCCCGCCGCCCACCGACGCCAACGCCAAUUCCAAGAACGGCCAGCACCAGCAGCA